GCUUGUGCUAAAUAAAUAAAUCUGAAAUAGUAUGAUGCUAAAGCAUUCUAAGAUGCUAUAAAGCCAUUUACCCAGAAGUCAUAGCUGUUACCAGUUCUGAAAGCCACAUAUCUUUGACACCAUUGAUUCUGAAGUGCUAAUGAAGUGUCUCCCAGAGUUUGUGUGUUUGCCAGGAUGGGUUGUGAAAGGUAUUGCUACUUAUCUAAGAAGAAAUAGAAUGAUGAUGAAGCAAUUGCCUUUGGAGCUGGAUGACACUUCCAGGAAUUUCUUCUGCUAUAUUCUUUCCCCAUCCAUCUGCCAGUAUCCCGGACGGUCUUUGGCUUGGACCUGUUCUUCAGACAAUCAUGAAUGCAGCAAGAAGCUUACUGUAAGAAGGAUUUUCUAAACUCGUGAGUUAUGAAGGAACUCUGGGGAACUGAUUAAUCCCUCCUCCUGCAAUUGUUGAUUGACUCCCUACAGACUCCAAACCAAAGAAGAAGUUUCAAGGCACAGAAUUCAGCACAUGGCAGAAAAAUAGAGAAUGUCGGUGUCCUUUAGAACCUGAAGAGACAGUUCUAGAAUCUGAAGAGUUUUGUGUCAAAAAUCUAGUAUUGUGCCAUUUGGAAACUAGAACUUCCAUUUUGUCCCCCUUUCUAAGAAUCCUUAAUUUUCUCCUUUAUUUACACAGGAAAGGAAAAGCCAAUGUUGUGUUUAAAAAGUUGAUUUUUGAGAGAGAGAGAGAAAGAAAGCAGCAAGGAAGGAAGUGGCAUCCAUAAAGAAAGCUCUAAUUCACUCUGUUUUCAUUUAUUUUAUUUUAUUUUAUUUUAUUCAAAACAAACAGACCUUUCCCUAUAUACUUGUGCAGUUCAAAUUUAAAAAAAUGCAAAUAAUAAUUUAUGACACAACGAUAAAAGAAAUUGCUCUUUUAAAAUAGCAAACCAGUACAGCAAUAGCCCUACAAAAUUCCCAUAGGUAGCAGUAGAAAUGUAUCAUAAACUCCCCAAACAACCAUCCUGAACACCAAUACUAAAUCAGACUUUAGGUAAAGGAGCAGUUUGGUAAAUCAACAUUGACUGACCAAAAGCCAUGAAAAACAUGGGUUACAUUAUUUCUCCAUAUCUAGAAAGCAUAUGUGUAAGAUAAUAUCCCUAGAGAAUCUGUUUAAAAAUGGCUAGUUUAUAACUGUACAGGAUUGUAAAAAUUCUUCCUUCCUUCCUAGCAGCCCCCACUAAUAAGUACUUUAAAAGAAAAGAAGCAUACACAGAAUAUAGACAGUCAAUUUUCUGUUGUGUUUUCCUAGUUUUUGGGUGUUCUGUACAAACCAUAUUUUUCUGGAGUAAUAUAUAUCAAAGAAAAGGUCACAGCAAGAGGAAGACACAAAUAAUAAAGAAACAUGGAUAAAAAGAAUACA
rnacentral:lncRNA from 1 species